rnacentral:misc_RNA from 1 species
GAGUGGUGUUUGGUUUGUUACGUGUGGUUGGCUGCGGCGUUUGCAACAACUUCCAUGCUUUCAGACCUCUUCAGUUGUGCGGCAAGGCUUGAAUCGCCUUGAGCGUAUUGUGGGUUUUCUGUGUUGGCUACCUAAUCAAUGGUAUCGUUUGGAUUGAUCAAAGUUUGAUUUCGUCUUCUGUCGCGUUUGCGGCGUGAGGUGAACCUUGAUGCGGUCUCUUUGAUCCAUCUCGGCGAAGCGCAUGCUUUGACGUUGUGGCACAUUGAGCAUUGCUUGGUCUCUUGUAUACGGAACAUGUAGUGGGCAUGGACCUAACGAUUCUUGUUUGCCCUCAUAUUAGCGUAACGCUUCUCUAACACGACUUGCACCAUGUUUAGCUCGUAC